rnacentral:rRNA from 1 species
GACGAACGCUGGCGGCGUGCUUAACACAUGCAAGUCGAACGGAAAGGCCUCUUUCGGGGGGUACUCGAGUGGCGAACGGGUGAGUAACACGUGAGUAACCUGCCCUUGACUUUGGGAUAACUUCAGGAAACUGGGGCUAAUACCGGAUAGGAGCUCCUGCUGCAUGGUGGGGGUUGGAAAGUUUCGGCGGUUGGGGAUGGACUCGCGGCUUAUCAGCUUGUUGGUGGGGUAGUGGCUUACCAAGGCUUUGACGGGUAGCCGGCCUGGGAGGGUGGCCGGCCACAUUUGGACUGGGAUACGGCCCAGACUCCUACGGGAGGCAGCAGGGGGGAAUAUUGCACAAUGGGUGGGAGCCUGAUGCAGCAACGCCGUGGGCGGGAUGACGGCCUUCGGGUUGGAAACCGCUUUCGCUCAUGACGAAGCUCUGUGUGACGGUAGUGGGUAAAGAAGCACCGGCUAACUACGUG